UCAAUAAAUCGAGACGAGUGGACCAGCGAGAGAAGUUAAUCAAAUCGAGGAACUACGAUUCGGCCGCCCUUUGUAUGUAAGUGCUCAAGGUUAAGGAGUGUUCACUAAAAGAUGUACUGCUGGACGAAAUUCCUGGAAUGUAUGAAAACACCAUACCAUACAAAUACAAAUUACUUUACGACGAAGAAAUUGAUUGCUGGAAACCUGAUGCACCGAAAAUUUUACGAGGGUCGGACCCGGAUAAACGAAUUCCUGCUCCUGCUUCUGUAUCAAAAAGGACUAUCGUGCCGGAUAAGGCUCCCAGAGCUGGACUAGGCAGCAGCUGUUGAUCGACGCAAACCUAAAAAUAAGGUGGCAUACUCCGACGGCCUUGUGUUGGAACCAAUAAAGGGAUUCAGGAAUACAACAUUUGCUUUACUACGACUACCGAUGCAGACGAUUAUGAGAACGCCGGCGCUCAGAUCCUCCAAAGAAGCAAAAUGACAUCCUCAUCAAUCUUCUAUCAUCCUCACGCAUUAUUGCACAGCACACCGCUGGGCAUCAUCAUCAAUCGCCAGUGUUUUUUCGCAUCAGUGUCGGUCGGUACUGCUGUCAAAAAAAUCAGCUCGCCUCGCACGGUUUGUAUUUACCGCGUUCGCACCCAGGAUCUUUCGAUUCGAUGUUCGCGGUACACCAGCCCAAAAGGACACUUUGCUGAAACGAUUAUCGAUCUAGGAUAACCAGCCAAAAAGCUGUUUACAAAGACGGGUGGUUCGGAUGCAGAACUCACGAGGAAUCGUUUCUCCAUCGGAAUUCCACUACUGGUUCCGAACACGAAAACCGCUUCACUCCAUCGUCAGCGUCCUCGAUCACCGUGACAGAAAAGUGCGGGUAGGAAGCACCUCUGGAUUGGGCCAUUUCGUUAGCUGAACCAAAUACCACCACCGCCGCCUGCGGAACAGCAACGGAUCAAAGUGACUGAAAACUAUUAAUUCAAGUUCAGUGCCUCUGAUCGACAAAGAGGCUUUACAAAAUCAACAAGAACCGUCACAAUUCCUCUGGCAACCAUUUGCAGCAUACGGACAGCGAAGAUUUAACAAAGAAGGUAGCGUUUUUUCCACCCUCUGACUCAAGGAAUCGAUGCUGGAGAACGAUCGUCAUCAGAGCAGCAGGAACACUAGUGAUUAUCAAUCCGGAGAACGCUCCAGUAUUACGACAUCUCAUCAACCUCUUGACCAUUUGAUUAUCAUCGUCAUAAUCACAAUCUGGCUGUCGUCUUCGGGGUCGCGAUCAGGAUAGUUUGCGGAUUUUAUACACUAGACUAGAGCUACCACCGCUAGUGUUUCAGCUUUUUGUAGGACACCCUUGAUGGCACAGCCGCUGGAUUAUAGUUGCCCUUGAACGGAAAACAAGAAAUGUGUACAGAGCAGACCGGUAAACCAAUAGUUUAUUCCAGUUGUCUCACUCCGUUAAUCAGUGGCUUGCUGGUCGCCAGAAAGUUCAUGGCGAUGCUCUUCCAGUUGAUGUGGUAGUCGACGCAGUUGCGGGAAUGGCGUUAGUAUACUUAUGCUGGAAUGCGGCUCUGGUGGAAACCAGCUAGAUCUGGUUGGUGCCAGACGUGCGUUCGAUGGAAAAUCGAUGAUUUUACGAACCAAAGCCACUAGUCAGCCGUGAGGGUCGGUUCCGAUUUUCUCGUACUGGAAGUUUAUUGGCCAACGGUACGAUUGCAAUCAAGGCUAGCGCUCACUCCGGCCGCCCGCCAGCAUCCGGUGAAAAUGUAACUUUGCUGACCGCACUACUCAUCUACUAUUUUGACCAUUUUGACAGCCUUCCCAACUGGUAAUGCAGUAAUCAGAGCAAUUCCCCAGAUGAAGA